UGACAUAAACUGGGACCGUAUAGAUCAUUGUUGCAACCAAGGUCCUGUAGUGGCACGCAAAUCUUGUAUAAAGGGGGUCAAAUGGGGUGUCUAGGACAAGGUUAUGGUUUACUGGUUAUGAUUAUGCUGUCUAUAUGUGUGUAUCAGUUUUGUAGUUGAAGUUAUGAAUAUUGGCUCUAUACUGUCUGUAUGGCAAACUUAUGCUAUGCUUCUGGGUGACAUCCCAGACAAGCUGAGAUUAGCUCUGCCUAGCCUGCUUGAUGGCCCAUUAAGGACCAUCAGCUAUACAAUGGACCCAUUGAGAGAAGGCAGAUACGCCUUGUAACUCAGCAAAGUAUGCAGGGACUGGCCCAUGUGACUCCAGACUCCAUUUUGCUGUAAUUUUCCACAGUAAGAACAAAGAGGUGUUCUUACACCUGGAAAAGACUAUAUAAGGCUGAUGCCUCAUCUCCAUUUUGUCUUCAAUCCUGCUUCUUACCUCUGGAGGAACUUUGCUACAAACUGAAGCUUUGAACAAAGGACUGAGGACCCAUCCCAGCGGGGGAUGUAUUCCAGAGACUUGAUUUGAACCUGCAGUUUAUUCCAUCGCUGCUGCAAGCCUGAACCAAGAACUUUGCCAUUACUAUCCCUCCGGCAGUCUGGAGCUCCUCCCCCACUGCUGCCCAGCGUGCCAGGACGAGCAGCACGGGGGAAACCUUAAGCCACAAGGAUUGAGAUCCCCAGUCAUUGACUGGAGCCACCCUGAAUAUGGACAUUGGACUAUAACCUAUGGACUAUUUCUAAAAGGACUUUUGGCAAC